rnacentral:rRNA from 1 species
CCUACGGGGGGCAGCAGUGAGGAAUAUUGGUCAAUGGCCGAGAGUCUGAACCAGCCAAGUCGCGUGAGGGAAGACUGCCCUACGGGUUGUAAACCUCUUUUAUCUGGGAGCAAAGCUAAGCACGUGUGACGCAUUGAGAGUACCCUAAGAAAAAGCAUCGGCUAACUCCGUGCCAGCAGCCGCGGUAAUACGGAGGAUCCGAGCGUUAUCCGGAUUUAUUGGGUUUAAAGGGAGCGUAGAUGGGUUGUUAAGUCAGUUGUGAAAGUUUGCGGCUCAACCGUAAAAUUGCAAUUGAUACUGGCAGUCUUGAGUACAGUAGAGGUAGGCGGAAUUCGUGGUGUAGCGGUGAAAUGCUUAGAUAUCACGAAGAACUCCGAUUGCGAAGGCAGCUUACUAAACUGUCACUGACAUUGAUGCUCGAAAGUGUGGGUAUCAAACAGGAUUAGAUACCCUUGUAGUC